UAAAAGGAAUGAUCUGCAAGUUUUGGCACAUGUUACCCCAUGGAUGUUCAGCACUUAAUCAACACUUUUAACGUGCAGGCCCUGUGUGCUUGCUCUUCAAGCUAGGGCAAACUGGACAAAGGAUAAUUUAUGAUAACCACACAUAUAUCUUUCUGUUCGGUAAACUUUCUUACAAAAUAUUGUUGCCUCUAGUUUCACUUUUUCCGGUAAACUUUGCCCAUCUCAGGUGACUGAUGUAUUGGGACAGUAUCCAGAUCUUCUGGAGGAGUUCAAUGAUUUAUUGGAGCGUCGUGAAAAUGCAGUCUCUCAGGUUUUCGUCGGGCAUAUACCGCCAGGGAUUCAUUUUCUGUGAAGAAGUGCAAAUGAGGUUGUGCAGUUAAGUUUACUGCGAGGAGUUUUUGAAGUGCUUUCAGAUUUAUCACAAUUCACAAGGGAAUAAUUACGAGGAAUGAUCUACAAACUUUGGUGAGUCUUAUACAUUGUCUGCUUACUUUUUGAGCAUAGAUUUCAUCUUUCUAUUUAUUAAACUUUGUUCAAAAAUAUUAUGUAAGAUAAAAAAACUGAUUACGAGGGCGAGCCCUGGCGUAAUGAAAAAGUUGGUCCUUUGUGACCGAAAGGUGGUUCUAGUCGUAAAAACAGUCUAUUUUCAAAGCAAGAGUAAGGCUGCAUACAAUAGACGUUCCCACUCGACCCUCACAAAGAGUGGAGCCGUACUGAUUUAGGGUCGCCCUUUAUAAAAGGAUUGAUUACAUGGUGGUGUUGUCUCUAGUUUGACAUCUUUUUUAUGGUAAACUCUGCCCCCAAGUCAGGCGACUGAUUUAUUCGGAAUGUAUCCAGAUCUUCUGGAGAAGUUCAAUGAUUUCUUGGACCGUUGUGAGAAAUGAGAAUGUAGAUGGGUUCCUGCUCGCGUUUUGAGAAGAUAAGAGACUCCACCAGAAAAGGCAGUUGAGUUUAAGGAAGCUACCAGUUUGUUAAACAAGAUAUAGGGUCAUAAUAGUGGGUAAUAUUUAUCAUGCAUGCUGUUCAUCUGUAUAUACCAUGUGUUCAAUGACAGAUCAAGAUUCGAACAUUGGGGAGUUGCAGUGUUGAAGGUUUAAUUUUUUUAGAUAUAUACAGAAUGUGAUAAAAAAAAUUCAGUUUAUUUAUCGAAGCAUUUUGUCGAACAUGUGGUGGGCUCGAGGCAUUCAGUUUAUUUAGUGAGGCAUUUUGCGGAAGCAAUUUGAUUAGUGAAAUCAAGAGAAUCUAUUGCGUGUUGUCGAUGCAACUUGUCGAGAUAUGCUAGCAGACAUUACAUCAAAUCCUUGGACGGUCAUCAGAAGAUCUUCACAUGUAUAUGUCUAGCCUUCGAGUGGUUCUAGGACCACCUUAGUCCCAAUGUACAUCCGCCCAUGCACGUGUCGAUA